CUUGUGUAUCAGGGCUUAUUAAAUUAAGGUUAAAUCUUUAAUUAUCUCGAAUUUAAAAGAGCUAUAUUUAAAUGUAUAUUAAUGUUGAAUAAUUAUUUAUAAUUUAUUUAUAGUAAUGAAACGUUAUUCGUUUUUGAAUAUAUCUAGUUUUCCAAGAAAUUAAUUAAAUUUAGUAGUUAUUUAAUAUUUUUAUUAUUGAUUAUUUUGAUAUUGAUAGCUAUUAAUAUCUAAGGGGAUGAGCUUUUAGAUAGAUUCUUAUAAGAUAAUUUUGUUUAAAUAAUUUGUAGGAUUAGAAUUUUCCAUCCAUAGGAGGAUGUUAUAAUUUAUUAUUAUAUAAUAUGAUUUAUAUUGACUUUAGGUUGUUUAUUGGAAUAAUGACGAUAAUGAUUUAUGUUAUGAAAUAAUGAUAAGAUUAGUAUAAUUAAUUGUGUUUAUGAAUUUUUAUGUAAGGUUAUAUAAAGGAAUUCGGCAAGUCUAAUUUUCACCUGUUUAAUAAAAACAUGGCCUUUUGAAUAUGAUUUAAGGUCUUACCUGCCCAAUGAUUUNUUGAAUGGCCGCAGUAUUUUG
rnacentral:rRNA from 1 species